AAGGAUCAAUUAUGGGAUCGACACAUUAAAGUCUAUGCUUUUGUUGAAAUAGGCAUAUCUCAUAUGCGUUAUUGAUUUAGCGAUGCUGAGUUCCUUUAUCAUCCAUAUGAGGACAUUACUUGGUGUCACGAAUGUUAAAGCCUUUCCUCAUGUCUUGUGAAUAGAAUCUAGCAAAAGGAUUGGUCUGCACGUCGAGGUACCUAUGUACAUUUAUGCUCAAUUGCUUCUCCAUCACCUCAACCAAAAUUUUGAAGUUCAGAUCUAUGCGUGUUCAAUCUUUUUCUUCGACGAAGCAGAGGGUUAUCAUCCAUACCUUCUUUGAAUUUUAAUAUGUCAAUAUGAAUCACAAUUUGAUCAUCUCUUACUUUAUUUUACAAACGGAAGAAAGAAAACUAUUGAAAUUUUACUAGAUUUGAUUAUGGUUUUGGAUUGGAUCCCUUGGGUUCACUAUAUAGUAUCCAUUUAGGGUUUAGUUUUUUUCCAUAAACAAGUAUUUAAUUGAGUUUAUUGGAUUAAUCGGAACAUGGGUGUUGGUGGUAGAGAUGU